CUCCAGUCGGCUGAGAGCAGAUUCAUUUCUUUCAGCGCAUUCUUUAGUGCUCUGCCUAGCUGCUCCACACUUAGAGGUUGCUAAGGAGGCACAAUGGGGAGGAGCCAUCUUGAGUGACAGCGCCUACGUGCCAGAGUGCACGUGUGGAGCUCUUGACGGACUUGCCAAGAUCCAGAAGGUUCUCUGAUCUCUUGGAGUUCCCUGGCCUCUCCCUACCGCCAGACCUGUGUCUGCAGAUGGACACUGGGAGCGGCAGAUGGCCCAGGCCAUCUCUCAGAUGGGAGCACACUGAGCGCCAGGAGCCCUUGUUAGGGUCAUUGUGGAUAUCUGGGGAGAGUCAUCCAGACUUCACCAGCCCUGAGCCCAUGAGAAUCCUCAACAGGUGCAUGCUGGUCAUCCCCCAAAGCGCUGCAAGCUGUCUCCAGUGCAUGUUCCCAUGCCACAGAUGAGGCACAAUGAGGCUGAGAGGGAGCAAGGAGGCAAGCCCAGCGCAAACUUGGCUUCCAGACUUCAAGUUGCCAACCCCCAAAGAGGCUGUUUGUCCACGAGGAGCGCUUGUGUGUGGAGUAGGAUCUUCAGGAAAACCCACCUCGCUCCUAAAGCUUGCUGAUCUCCUCACUGACCUGGGGUUUGAAAUCUAAACCCCUACCACCAGGCAGACCUAGACUACAGUCAGGAGUCCUCAGCACACUAAGCCACUAAAGGUCUCCUUCCACCAGGAUUCUGCCUGGGAUCCCAGCCCAGCCUGGCUAGUGGGGAGGAAAGAUGGCCUGGUGUAGAGCCAGCCUCAAAGAAUUAGAAUCUUUGGCUCAGUGGGACUGAGCAUAGCAGGACAAGGGUGGGGUAGGCAGAGCUCAACAUUCCUGACGUGAAGGGGACACAAUGGGAAGAAACAAGUGUUAGAAAUAAUCCUUAAGAGAAACCUCUCCACCUAUGCGAAUAAUUUCACAUAGAUUAGAUAAUAAUAAUAAUUUCACAUUUGAUUAGACCAAAUCAAAGAUGCCCACAUUUAAUAAAUGCAGUGCUCCCAGGUGGUCGGGAGCACAGCGAGGGAGAGACCACGUAAAACCCGCGACCACGUGUUUCUUUUUCCGCAGAGAGCCUAAAUAGCCUGUGGGAGUGGUCCUGACCUUCCCUAGGGAGGGGCUAGUGUUUGGUGGGCUUUCCUGGAGGUUUGGUCAAAAGUGAGACCCCAGCCCUCUAACACCCCUCUAUCUAAGGAGUCUGGGAUGAUUGGAAGCAUCACCCCAGUUCCUGGGCCAAUGGAGCAGAAUGCUCUAUUCAAGUCCCCUCCCACAAUUGUCUGUGUAGCCAAAAAAGCUGUCUCAUUUUUGCUCAUUUAUCCCUCUCAGAUCUGUCUAAUGGCAUUCGAUAAUUUAAGGUACUGUUAACUUAUUACUUCAUCCAUGACAUUUAAUGAAGUUUCCUGCUAAAAUACAGACAGGCGUGCCUCUUUAACAGGCUUCAUAGUUAAGGAUUAUUAGGUUUCAGGAGUAUCCUAAAAGCAAUAGCCUUUUGCUAUGACACCAAGAUAUAAAUCUGUUCCAGUUCUCUUACAGAUACUACACAGGUUCCUGGAAAAGUUCUAUUGCUGUAUCAAAAAUCAGGUCUGGUAAAAGACUAACUGUCUCCAGAGCCUAUUUUAACCCCAGCCAGUUUCAAACAUAUUUUACAGGUCACUCCUGCUGCCUGGGCCAAGACCAACUUACAAAGCAGUCUUCAGACAAUGCCAACAUCUUCCUGGGACUUCACCAUGAGUACCAACUCUCCUGGAUCAAGGACACCUGCCAACUAAAAUCUGGUUUUAUCUACUAUUGUGUCCCAUUACAUGGCUAGCCCCAUUUCAUAGGGCCAAUAAUAACAAUAUACUUUUUCUCCCAGCCACCUGCCUUCUCAUCUCCCUCA